UACGAAGGGGCUAGCGUUGCUCGGAAUCACUGGGCGUAAAGCGCACGUAGGCGGAUUGUUAAGUCAGGGGUGAAAUCCUGGAGCUCAACUCCAGAACUGCCUUUGAUACUGGCGAUCUCGAGUCCGGGAGAGGUGAGUGGAACUGCGAGUGUAGAGGUGAAAUUCGUAGAUAUUCGCAAAGAACACCAGUGGCGAAGGCGGACUCACUGGCCCGGUACUGGACGCUG
rnacentral:rRNA from 1 species